GCACGUGAAGGUGAUUCAGCUGGCAAACCUCCACCACCCCGACCCUUCAUCAUGGUCAACUGGGACAGAUCUGGCUAGCUAGACAGGGGUUCUCCUCCCUCACUUCUCCACGUGUGACACUGCCGAGGCUGUACGCUCGGUCCAACAGGAUAACACGGCCUUUGGUCAAAGGUCUAUGUGCUCUCCUAGAACCUCCAGACAAGCUCUCAAGAGUGCCUGGGUUCAAUCUUGGCUGUCCUCACUACAGACUCCUGCUUAUGUUCAUCUUGGAAGGCAGCAAUGA
ensembl:misc_RNA 7SK 7SK RNA